GCGCAGUAACUUGGCCCACACCGACGGCGCGACAGUUUUGAACGGAACUUGCUGGUGCUUGGACGCAGCUGCCGAUCUCCGCGGCGCGCUCAGAUACUUAUCACAAAACACCAAAUACCACAUUCGUGCUUUUUUUUCCUGUUUUCGUUUCGUACUCACUGAUUGUUGGGUGAUCCUUUAACCGUUGUGUCGAGAAUUUUGUUUGAGUGAUUUACCGAUUUUGAGCGGUGGUUGCACGAAAUAAUUGGGAUCUGGUUUCGAAAAGGACCGUUUGGCCAUGUCCCAAGCCCGAGGCAGAAUCCACGAGCCGGUGCAGCAGCCCCUGGCGCUCCUGCCAGUUCUGCUCCUCCUUCUGGUCCUCGGCAAGGCGGCGCGCGCAGAUCACGUCUCCCCGAACAACAGACUCCCGUCGCAGCGCUUUUUCUACGCCGCUGCUGCGGCCUCGUCCUCCUCCUCGCAGACCAAGGUACGACUGCUCCGUCAGGCGGACGACCCCAAUGCGGCUUCGGAGGCGGUGGAGGGCAGCUGCUGUCAAGGAGCAGCCGCCGAAGCCGGAAAACCACUGACGCUCCCACUGGCCGUGUCCGCCGAGUUGAGCAACGUGACCGCCGACUACGACGUGUCCGGCGAGAUCCCGUCCUCGAAGGAAAACUUUAAGCGCAGCAUCUCCAAAUCCACCGUGAGGAACGCGACGCCGGCAAGCUGCUCGCCGCAACCCACGAUCAUAGAGCUGAAGCCGCCGGCGGAGGACGAGGCGAACUACUACUACAUGCCCGCCUGCACGCGGAUAAGCCGGUGCAACGGCUGCUGCGGCUCCACGCUGAUCUCCUGCCAGCCGACGGAGGUGGAGCAGGUGCAGCUGCGCGUGCGCAAGGUCGACCGGGCGGCCACCACCGGGCGGCGGCCGUUCACCAUCAUCACCGUGGAGCAGCACACGCAGUGCCGCUGCGAUUGCCGCACCAAGGCGGAGGACUGCAACGUGUAUCAGUCGUACCGCAAGGACCUGUGCCGCUGCGAGUGCCACAACACGGACGCCAGGGACAAGUGCCUGGAGCAGGCCGAGAACAAGUACUGGGUUGACGACAACUGCACCUGCGUCUGCCGCUACAACCAGAGCUGCACCACCGGCACCGUCUUCGACGAGACGCAGUGCAAGUGCACCGACGUGAGUGGCUCCCGAUAGGACUCCACCCUACUCCCCUGAGGCUCCCUGGGCAGGGAUUGGUUUCGUUCGGUCUGGUCGGGGGAUCGGUUGUGCUCGUCCCUGAUAAAAAAUGUCGAGUAUUAUUCUUAGAGUCCACAAAACAAAGCACAGCAAACAGAGCUUUUUCAAUUGAAAAACCCAAAUCUGCUUACCUUUUUGUGAUAUUGUUACAUUAACUUACUCGGAAAACUAACUUAAAAUUAGCGUCUUUUGCCUAGCAAUUGGUUAAGGAUAUACGUAAAAAAUUUAACUUACACAGCUGAGCUGAGGCAAAAAAGAGAAGGGAGUUUCAUUGUCCAGCCGCUCCCAUCGACUUUUCGGACCGGAAACGCUUUAUUGUCCAGGCCGUGCAGGUGGACCCCGAUAACACCACCCUGUACAGUGUUUGAGCGUAGUCAGCGCACCAAGGAGUACGAAGGAGAAACGCCAGCUUCCUAGAGGGGAAUCCCCGAGUACUGAGUCGGCAAUCACGGAGUUGCACUAAGCGCAGUUGCCUUUGUACUGUAUAAUAUUUAUGGUUAUCGAUUAAACCUAGGCUAAGACUACUACUCCCUUAGAACUAACUCACAGUAUUUUUCCUUUGCAUCUGCGGCACAAAAAACAUAAGGGGUUUUGCGCCAGUCCUAACAAUUGGAUGUCUGUUGAAAAUCUGUUUAAAACUAGGCCAAUAUUAAUGGACAAAAUAUAUUUGUGCACCCCCGUUUAUUAUAAAUUUUAAUUCAUUUGUUUAUAGUACUUUUUAAGCGCCUUCCACUUUAUUGCGGCCCUGUCCACGUUUGUUUAUUUCCGUUCGUUUAAGUUUUAAAUCAUUCAAAUCCAAUUGUCCACAACUUUAACUCUAUCCUAUAAUUCGCCGUAUUUAAUUUGUAUGUAAUUUUUUUUUGUAUAAAAUGUUAGACCUAAGUUAACGUAAUGAAAAUACAAGUAUUGAAUUAUAAACUGA